rnacentral:rRNA from 1 species
UUGGUUAAGUUAGAAAGGGCGCACGGUGGAUGCCUUGGCACUAGGAGCCGAAGAAGGACGGGACUAACACCGAUAUGCUUUGGGGAGCUGUACGUAAGCGUUGAUCCAGAGAUUUCCGAAUGGGGGAACCCACUAUCUUUAGUCGGAUAGUAUCCUUACGUGAAUACAUAGCGUGAGGAAGGCAGACCCAGGGAACUGAAACAUCUAAGUACCUGGAGGAAGAGAAAGAAAAAUCGAUUUCCUGAGUAGCGGCGAGCGAAACGGAAAGAGCCCAAACCAAGAAGCUUGCUUCUUGGGGUUGUAGGACACUCUAUACGGAGUUACAAAAGAAAGUUAUAAAUGAAGCGGUCUGGAAAGGCCCGCCAAAGACGGUAACAGCCCGGUAGUUGAAAUGGCUUUCCCUCCAGAGUGGAUCCUGAGUACGGCGGAACACGUGAAAUUCCGUCGGAAUCCGGGAGGACCAUCUCCCAAGGCUAAAUACUCCCUAGUGACCGAUAGUGAACCAGUACCGUGAGGGAAAGGUGAAAAGCACCCCGGAAGGGGAGUGAAACAGUUCCUGAAACCGUGUGCCUACAAGUAGUUAGAGCCCGUUAAUGGGUGAUAGCGUGCCUUUUGUAGAAUGAACCGGCGAGUUACGAUUUGUUGCAAGGUUAAGCGGAAAAAGCGGAGCCGUAGCGAAAGCGAGUCUGAAUAGGGCGCAUAAGUAACAGGUCGUAGACCCGAAACCAGGUGAUCUACCCAUGUCCAGGAUGAAGGUAAGGUAAUACUUACUGGAGGUCCGAACCCACGCACGUUGAAAAGUGCGGGGAUGAGGUGUGGGUAGCGGAGAAAUUCCAAUCGAACUUGGAGAUAGCUGGUUCUCUCCGAAAUAGCUUUAGGGCUAGCCUCGAGGUAAAGAGUCAUGGAGGUAGAGCACUGUUUGGACUAGGGGCCCUUCUCGGGUUACCGAAUUCAGAUAAACUCCGAAUGCCAUGUACUUAUACUCGGGAGUCAGACUGCGAGUGAUAAGAUCCGUAGUCGAAAGGGAAACAGCCCAGACCACCAGUUAAGGUCCCCAAAUAUAUGUUAAGUGGAAAAGGAUGUGGGGUUGCUUAGACAACCAGGAUGUUGGCUUAGAAGCAGCCACCAUUGAAAGAGUGCGUAAUAGCUCACUGGUCGAGUGACCCCGCGCCGAAAAUGUACCGGGGCUAAACAUAUUACCGAAACUGUGGAUGAACCUCUUUAGAGGUUCGUGGUAGGAGAGCGUUCUAAGGGCGGUGAAGUCAGACCGGAAGGACUGGUGGAGCGCUUAGAAGUGAGAAUGCCGGUAUGAGUAGCGAAAGAAGGGUGAGAAUCCCUUCCACCGAAUAUCUAAGGUUUCCUGAGGAAGGCUCGUCCGCUCAGGGUUAGUCGGGACCUAAGCCGAGGCCGAUAGGCGUAGGCGAUGGACAACAGGUAGAGAUUCCUGUACCAGUGCUAAUUGUUUAACCGAUGGGGUGACACAGAAGGAUAGGGAAUCGCACGAAUGGAAAUGUGCGUCCAAGCAGUGAGUGUGAGAAGUAGGCAAAUCCGCUUCUCGCGAAGCAUGAGCUGUGAUGGGGAAGGAAAUUAAGUACGGAAGUUCCUGAUUUCACGCUGUCAAGAAAAGCCUCUAGGAAGAGUAGUACUGCCCGUACCGCAAACCGACACAGGUAGAUGAGGAGAGAAUCCUAAGGUGAGCGAGAGAACUCUCGUUAAGGAACUCGGCAAAAUGACCCCGUAACUUCGGGAGAAGGGGUGCUCUAUUAGGGUGCAAGCCCGAGAGAGCCGCAGUGAAUAGGCCCAGGCGACUGUUUAGCAAAAACACAGGUCUCUGCAAAACCGUAAGGUGACGUAUAGGGGCUGACGCCUGCCCGGUGCUGGAAGGUUAAGAGGAGUGCUUAGC